UACAGCCAUAUUAUGUUGAAAUACCGGUCCUUGUACGAUCACUGAAGUUAAGCAAUGUCAAGCCGGGUCAGUACCUAGAUGGGGGACCGUUUGGGAGCACCAGGUGCUGUAAG